GAAGCAUCCAGCACAGGAGAAAGAUGUAGUCUGGGAGGCUAGGAUCGUCUAAUCUUUUCACGUUUUUCUGCCUGUUUUAUAUUCUAGCCUUGCUGGCAGCUCAUUAGAUGGUGCCCACCCAGAUUAAGGGAGGGCCUGCCUUUUUCAACCCACUGACUCAAAUGGUAAUCUCUUUUGGCAAUACGUUCACAGAUGCCCGGGAUCAAUACUUUGCAUCCUUCAAUCCAAUCAAGUUGACACUCAGCAUUAAUCAUCACACAAGCUAUGGGCAGAAUUGAGUAGUUUUGACGGAGACUGUAAGACCUGCAAAGUAUAAAGUAUUUACUAUUUGAACCUUCACAGAAAAAGUUUGCUGACCCCUGAUUUAGGUAGAUGUAUUCUAGCCGGGGCCUUUUCUGGCUGGCCCAAUACUCAUCAAGCAGGCUCCACAUCAGGAUUUGGAGUGAACCUUGGCAGAGAUUUAACUUGUUUCUGAGUUAAAGGAAUUGAAAGAAGCUGUGGGAAAGGUAUGAGAGACUCUGGAAAAUGGAUUGAAAUGAAGGUACUGUGAUAUUAAGUCCUGUGUUCAUUGGUAUUCCUAGAGUAUUGGAGUAUUGUUUUGGAGUGUAAGGUGUUGUGACGCACCUUUCUUUGGAGAGUAAGUUUAUUGCAAGAACUGCCUUUCACAGAAUUCCUGUUCACUACCAUGGCAAAAUGUCCUAUCCCCACUGCCACGUCUAACAGUAUUUGGAGUAAUCAAACAGUAAGCAAGAGGCUGAAGGUUAAUGUAUUAAAAUGAUGUGAUUCAGUGCCUUCGAUGUUUCCGACUCUGUAAUGAGGCAUCUAGAGCACAUACUAUAAGCAGGAGGGUGAGAUGAUGGCGAUGGUUAACAUGCAAGUGUGAACUGCUGAACCCUGAGAAGGUUUGUUUAUUCUGGCAUCAAUAGGGAUACAGAUCCUCAGAACCCAGGUGACUUGAUGAUGUUGUUGGGAAAAUAGUAAGAAGCUAAGGAAACUUCAAAGAAAAUGGAUUAGACAGGAAAUUGUGACUGGAAUGCAGAGAAUGUAGGAUAGUGGAGAUUGGAAGGACCUCAGAAUAAGGACCUGAAAGAAAGAGCACAAGCCUGCUCUAGGAAAACCUGAUGGCCAGGUAGUGGCUACACAGGUAUCUGGUUCAACCAGAUGUCAAAAGGCAGAGUACCUCCUAUACAAAUAGAGGAUCCAGCACCAUCAACGUUCAGAGUGGUUCUGUAUCAGUCUUGGAUCUUCAGAUAAACUGCGGCAAGAAGACUUACCCCUAUGCAGGAGGGCCUAGGGGAAGAGUUCAUGCCCCUGACAGGUGAAUA